rnacentral:rRNA from 1 species
AAGAAGCGAAAAGUCGACGCGCCGCAAGGCGUCCGGCCCUCCGCGAGCACCCUCGGGGGUUCGGGUUCCGGACCCGGUCCGAUCCCGUUCCCACCGGGGGGCUGUCCGCGAUCAUGGAGGUGUCCUCGGACGGCGUCGAAAACUUUUCCAGUCCGCGACGCUACGGCUUGGAAGGUCCUCCCGACCCGUCUUGAAACACGGACCAAGGAGUCUAACAUGCGCGCGAGUCGUUGGGUCGGACACGCUCCGCUAAACCCAUAGGCGCAAUGAAAGUGAAGGCCGCCGCAUGGGCGGCCGAGGGAGGACGGGGUCGUUCGCGCGCUCCGGCGCGCGUCGGUCCCCGCACCCCCGGGGCGUCUGAUCCCUCAUCGCGAGGGGAGGCGCACCCAGAGCGCACACGUUGGGACCCGAAAGAUGGUGAACUAUGCCUGGCCAGGACGAAGUCAGGGGAAACCCUGAUGGAGGUCCGUAGCGAUUCUGACGUGCAAAUCGAUCGUCGGAGCUGGGUAUAGGGGCGAAAGACUAAUCGAACCAUCUAGUAGCUGGUUCCCUCCGAAGUUUCCCUCAGGAUAGCUUGCGCUCGGAGGAGAGUCUCAUCCGGUAAAGCGAAUGAUUAGAGGCCUUGGGGCCGAAACGGCUUCAACCUAUUCUCAAACUUUAAAUGGGUGAGAACUCCGGCUUGCUCGAUGAAUCGAAGCCGGAGACGGGGCCCCUCGUGGGCCCCCGGGAUCAGAGUGCAUAGUGGGCCACUUUUGGUAAGCAGAACUGGCGCUGUGGGAUGAACCAAACGACGGGUUAAGGCGCCCGAAUCGACGCUCAUGGGAAACCAUGAAAGGUGUUGGUUGCUUAUGACAGCAGGACGGUGGCCAUGGAAGUCGGAAUCCGCUAAGGAGUGUGUAAUAACUCACCUGCCGAAGCAACUAGCCCUGAAAAUGGAUGGCGCUGAAGCGUCGUGCCUAUACCCGGCCGUCGCCGCGGGGCGGACCCGGCUCCGAGUCGGGUGCCGCUUGAUGCGGCGACGAGUAGGAGGGUCGCGGCGGCGUGCGCAGAAGGGUCUGGGCUCGAGCCUGCCUGGAGCCGCCGCCGGUGCAGAUCUUGGUGGUAGUAGCAAAUACUCCAGCGAGGCCCUGGAGGACUGAUGUGGAGAAGGGUUUCGUGUGAACAGCCGUUGCACACGAGUCAGUCGAUCCUAAGCCCUAGGAGAAAUCCGACGCCAACGGCGACGGGAAAAAUUUCAAAGAGCAAAACGACCCGUUGAUCGGGCGAAAGGGAAUCCGGUUCCUAUUCCGGAACCCGGCAGCGGAACCGCUGUUUGUCGGGCCCUCAAAAGGGGUUCGUCAGGGUAACCUAAAAGGGCCCGGAGACGCCGUCGGGAGCCCCGGAAAGAGUUUUCUUUUCUGCAUGAGCGUUCGAGUUCCCUG